UACGGAGGAUGCGAGCGUUAUCCGGAUUUAUUGGGUUUAAAGGGUGCGCAGGCGGUCUGUUAAGUCAGCGGUCAAAGCCCGGGGCUCAACCCCGGCCCGCCGUUGAAACUGGCAGUCUCGAGUUGGAGAGAAGUAUGCGGAAUGCGCGGUGUAGCGGUGAAAUGCAUAGAUAUCGCGCAGAACUCCGAUUGCGAAGGCAGCAUGCCGGCUCCACACUGACGCUGAGGCACGAAAGCGUGGGGAGCAAACAGG
rnacentral:rRNA from 1 species